ACUCGUCUGGAGUGGUGUCGGCAUCAUAACUUGAGUACCAAUAGCAAGAAAGUUGAGGUUUAUUUGAGACUUCGGAGACAUUUAUAUUCAAAACAAGAGUGUUAUAUUCUCAAUACAUCUCGUGAGGCCAGAAUGAAGCAGGAUCCCAAGAAACCCAAGAUAGUCUUCAGAGGAAUCGGGCCUCCAAGCAGCUGCCGAAGUAAGAAGCAGGAGAGUGGUAUGCUGGAAAUUCUAGCUUCACCUUAGGGGUGCACAUUUACAGCCUGGACAAGGAUUGCCAUGAGAGCAGCUCAGUCAAUGUCUAUGAAUCGCUGUCCUCCUCCCUCUAAUGUGCAGGCUUUUCUGCCACAAGCCAUUGGAUUCAGAUGGUGUGUGGUCCACAGCAGGCAGCUCCCUGCAGAUAAGAAAGGCUGGAUUGGCCUGAAAUUUCUUGCUGGUCAGACCUGGGUUCCAGACACUCCCCAAAGGAUGAAUUUUCUCUUCCUGUUACCAGCCUGUGUUCUCCCAGAACCAGGAGUGGAAGAUAAUUUGCUAUGUCCCGAAUGUGUUCACAGCAACAAGAAGAUCGGGAGAAACUUUAAAACUAGAAGCCGUACAAAGAAAAAUGCCCUACCCCUAAAUAUGCCGCCUUAG
rnacentral:lncRNA from 1 species